UCUAGGCUCCUGGGUUCUCUGAGUUGGUGCAGUGGCCACAGAGAAAUUCCUGUUCCUAGCUGGGUUUACAAUGAGGAUCCGAACCCUACAUCCUCAAUCACUCACGGUCCAGCAGAGUCACCCUUUAGGGGCAGCCAUCUUCCCUGCGCAUGCUGAUGAUGUCAUUGUUUUGGGAAAGGAGUCUCUCAGCUCAAGAGCAUUCCUCUUCCAUCUCCUCUUCAUUAGAGG
rnacentral:lncRNA from 1 species